UACGGAGGGGGUAAGCGUUGUUCGGAAUUACUGGGCGUAAAGGGCUCGUAGGCGGCUAACUAAGUCAGAUGUGAAAUCCCUCAGCUUAACUGGGGAACUGCGUGUGAUACUGGAUGGCUUGGAUUUGGGAGAGGGAUGCGGAAUUCCAGGUGUAGCGGUGAAAUGCGUAGAUAUCUGGAGGAACACCGGUGGCGAAGGCGGCAUCCUGGCCCAAUAUUGACGCUGAGGAGCGAAAGCCAGGGGAGCAAACGGG
rnacentral:rRNA from 1 species